CCUACGGGUGGCAGCAGUGGGGGAUAUUGCACAAUGGGGGAAACCCUGAUGCAGCGACGCCGCGUGAGUGAAGGAGUGAUUCGGUGUGUAAAGCUCUAUCAGCAGGGAAGAAAAUGACGGUAACUUAGUAAGAAACCCCCGCUAACUACGUGCCAGCAUCCGCGGGAAUACGUUGGGGGCAAGCGUUAUCCGGAUUUAAUUGGUGUAAAGGGGGCGGAGACGGCAGUGCAAGUCUGGAGUGAAAGGCGGGGGCUCAACCCCCGGACUGCUCUGGAAACUGUACGGCUGGAGUGCAGGAGGGGCAAGUGGAAUUCCUAGUGUAGCGGUGAAAUGCGUAGAUAUUAGGAGGAACACCAGUGGCGAAGGCGGCCUACUGGACUGUAACUGACGUUGAGGCUCGAAAGCGUGGGGAGCAAACAGGAUUAGAUACCCGAGUAGUC
rnacentral:rRNA from 1 species